UGGAAUUGGUUAAAAUGACUUCAGGAAAGAGAAAGAAAAUUGUAUAUGAAGGCUAAGAGGUGGAGCCCAAAGUCAUGAAUUUAGGGCCUGGACCAUGAUCAGAGGUGAGACUAUCUUCAUGUUUCUGCAGUCCAGGGAUGGAGUUUUUCAGCUAAAAACUCAAGGGCAUUAACAAACAAACUGCCAAGUCUUGCCACCGUUAACUGUUAUACAGAGACCGUGGAAGGGCCUCUGCCUGUUAGGUCAGGGACUAUAUACAGAACACAGAGAGGGAACAAAAACUGUCCCUCUGGAAAUGUUCUUAGCUUUGGAAAUGACCAAAGGCAAAUGAGGGACAUAAUAGGGGUUUAAGAAAAGAGUAGAGAGAUCCAGUACCCUCUACAAGUUCUAACCCCGCAAACUGCUGACACAGCAAUAGGAAAUAACAGUGAAUAUGUACAGUGAAAAUGAAGAAAGAUCGAGGCACAAGGAAAUCCAAGAAUGAGAAUGAGUCUCUAGGUAACAAGACUUACCUGUUUGUCUCUCUCUGAUCGCUCACCUAAAUCCUUGAAGUCGAUAUGAGCCUUUUCCCCUCAACCUCCUAAGAAGUUUCAGCCAAGAUGCAGACACCAGGAAGACCAUCAGAGGGCAUCUUCUUCAACAAGAGAGCUCAGUACCACAAAUUGCAAGCCAUAUCUUGGCCCAAGGAGCCCAGAAAGGGACUGUCAUGCGGCUGCUCUUACCAACACUCCACAGAAACCUUGAAAACAAAGAGCCCACAAUUGCAGUAAAAACCAGCAGCGUGGCAGCCACCAGAGAGGGCAGAGUCCCAUGACCUCCCACCCCUUUGAAGGAGCUGGAGCUCCAAAGCCUCAUUCAUAAAAAAUUGUCAUUAUUUUACCUAUCUGGUGUUUCCCGGAAACCCUACUUGCAAGGCUGACUUUAUUUGAUUAGAGUUCAUCAGUGCAAAAAAAAAAAAUCUUUUC
rnacentral:lncRNA from 13 species